rnacentral:rRNA from 1 species
UCGAACGGUAGCAGGUAAGUACUUGUACUUAUGCUGACGAGUGGCGGACGGGUGAGUAAUGCUUGGGAAUCUGGCCUAUGGAGGGGGAUAACUACGGGAAACUGUAGCUAAUACCGCGUAAAGUCUACGGACUAAAGGAUGGGAUCUUCGGACCAUCUGCCAUGGGAUGAGCCCAAGUGGGAUUAGGUAGUUGGUGGGGUAAAGGCCUACCAAGCCGACGAUCUCUAGCUGGUCUGAGAGGAUGACCAGCCACACUGGAACUGAGACACGGUCCAGACUCCUACGGGAGGCAGCAGUGGGGAAUAUUGCACAAUGGGGGGAACCCUGAUGCAGCCAUGCCGCGUGAAUGAAGAAGGCCUUCGGGUUGUAAAGUUCUUUCGGUAGCGAGGAAGGUGYAUAGUCUAAUAGGCUAUGCAAUUGACGUUAACUACAGAA